AAUCAACGCUGGCGGCGUGCCUAACACAUGCAAGUCGAACGAGAAAGUGGAGCAAUCCAUGAGUACAGUGGCGCACGGGUGAGUAACACGUGACUAACCUGCCUUCGAGUGGGGAAUAACCUCGGGAAACCGGGGCUAAUACCGCAUAACAUCAUCGAGUGAAAUUCCUGCUGAUCAAAAGUUUUUUGCUUGAAGAGGGGGGCGAGGCUGAUUAGCUAGGUGGUGGGGUAACGGCCCCCCAAGGCAGUGAUCAGUAGCCGGCCUGAGAGGGCGCACGGCCACACUGGAACUGAAACACGGUCCAGACUCCUACGGGAGGCGGCAGUGGGGAAUUUUGCGCAAUGGGGGAAACCCUGACGCAGCAACGCCGCGUGGAGGAUGAAGUCCCUUGGGACGUAAACUCCUUUCGAUCGGGAAGAAUAAUGACGGUACCGGAAGAAGAAGCCCCGGCUAACUUCGUGCCAGCAGCCGCGGUAA
rnacentral:rRNA from 1 species